GGGCAAGUGGCGGAAUUGGUAGACGCGCUAGCUUGAGGGGCUAGUCCUGAAUUAUCGGGGUGGAGGUUCAAGUCCUCUCUUGCCCACCA
rnacentral:tRNA from 1 species